rnacentral:lncRNA from 1 species
CCAUCGAUUGAAAUUGUUGGUAUCUGCAUAAUGAUACCGCAUCACUGACAUUUUUGUGCUGAUAUAAAACAAAAAUAAGGACGAAUAUCAUGGACAAUAGGGGGGUCAAUAAAAUUGCAAAGCUCGGGUGGAAUUUGAAAUUUUAAAUGAUAGUGGUUUAUUAGAAUAUAUUAAGGCAUUACUUACAUUCUCUUUGAACACAAGCAGUUGAACAACCAUUCCAACAAUCUGCCGGUAGUUUGAGCGUUUCUGAAAUUUGAACAAAAACAAAAUCACAAAUGGAAACAUCUAUCUUCUUGAUCUUUCUUAUUUCUUUCCGAAAUCUGAACCAAAUUUAAUGAGAAACAAGAGAGAGAAAAAAAGUAUGCAAAAUAAAAAUGAAACAAAGUAUAAAACAAUCUUAAUUACCCUUUGCAGAAUUCCACACUUAAAUCUAAGUUCUUUGAUAAUGAUUUCAAAAUCUACAGUGAAAUGGAAGCAUAUAAAAGAAUAUGGGCUUGAUUUUGAUUUCGGGUUUCUCAAAACUUAAGAGGAGAGAGAGAGAGAGAGAGAGAGAGAGAGAGAGAGAGAGAGAGGGGGGGGGGGAAACCUUAACUUGGGAGAGAUGUAAGUGAUAUAUAAGAUGAAAGAAGAUCAAAGAGUGGUUGAAGAUCUGGAUUUGGGGAAGAACACAAACGGGGAAGGAGAAGAGAGUGGGAGAAUAG